UGGCCUGUGAGGAAAUCCUUAAAAAUUUACACCAUCUUUCGGGACUGAAUGGUCUUCAUAUGAAGUCCUUGCUGUAAUUCUGCAAUUCUGAGGCCU